ensembl:lncRNA
UCGCAGAGGUUGCAGAUGCUUUCUUGGUGAAAUUUUAAAUAGCAUUCAACUAUUUAGUGUGUAUAUUUUUUUUCUUUUUUCUUUUUUUUUUUUUUUGCUUUUGAAAAAGUUAACUCUUUAUCAGUUAAAUGUGGAUAGAAAAAAAAACCUUUCCACUAGUGAAAAUGGAGUGUUGUGUGGUUUUAUAAACAUUUUAUCUAAAGCACUUUAUAACCUCUUUUGUGUAACCUGCUACUCCUUAUAUCCGUCCACAGCUCUCUACUGAUCUAAGAUGAAUUUGUACUCUGAAACGUCCAGUGGGUGGGGUUAAAAAAAAAAAACAAAGAAGAAGAGAAAAAAAAUGAAAGCAGUCGUCUUUGUACAAAUAGAUACAUCAUUUUUACAUUUUCUCUCAUGUCAGAAUAUUUUUGAGGUCUAGACAACUUUGUAUAGAACGUCUGCGCACUGUUGAGUCCCUCUUUGUAUUCAGUCCCAGUGGUCCAGUCAAGUCUAUCCAAAAACAGCCAUUCCCACAAACGGCAUUGUCACUUGUCAGUGUUUGAGUGGUAACUAGGCCUUUUGUGUUUUAGACACUGACAACACAUCUGAAAUACUGAUUCGUUUAGUUUGUACAUUUACAUGAAGGAUCUUCAUUGUUUUGGUUUUUUUCUUUUGUACUAAGUCUCGGUUCUUCUCGUUGGAAUGUUUUUACUGUUGUUCGUGUUGUGUUUCGAUAUUAAGUUUUUGUUUCUGUUUGUAGCCCGUGCAGGUUGGUGCCGCAUGAAGCUGGCUCCUGUCCUUUGUGUUGUGAACAGGGGCUCACUGGUAGAUGAAAUCUGUUACAUAGAGGUUGUCAUUUUUGAUUCCAUCUUUGGUGCUAUGUAGAGGAGUAAUGGGCACUUCUGUCGUCGUGUUAGUACAGUUUGUACUAUCAAUAGCACUUGCAUUUGUUUUUAGUUUGGAAGCAAAGAGCUGGCUGUUGUUGAGGGAUCAGACUGGAGUGCACCCACCCAGGCAUACCAAAGCUCCUGAUUGUGAAUGGUCGCCAUUUUGUCCUCGCCAUCGUAACGUUUACUCAUUUGUAUUUGUUCGUUCACAUAAUGCAGCUCUCACAUGGCUAACAAUUCAGCAUGCUGGGGGGUUGUUUUGUUUUGCUCUUUUACAAGAUUUCUGAUAGUUUUGCGAAGGUACUUUGCUUCAUGGAUCAGUUUAUCUCAUUAACAUUUCCACUGAUUUGAUACAUUACUCUAUUUUUCAAUGAAGAGUUGACAUUGCUGAACUUUCCAAAUCUGAUAUUAGCCAAUUUGGCAUUAUGCCCCCCUCCCCCCCCAAAAAAGACAUGAUUUUUUUCUUGGAGACUUCAGACAUUAGAAUCGCAUUGCUCACAUGCAUUUGUUUACAUUUUCAUGGUCAUACUCUUUUAUCUUUGCAGCUGUUAGUGAUCCAUUUUAAAAGUAACUUAUCUUUUUUAGAAUUUUGUAUCCAUGUAUCAAAAUGUAGAGUAUUUUUGUAAAACUAAACUUUUUCUUUUUUGCUCAUAGCAAAGAACUAUCAUUGCUAGUGUUUUGUUGGUUUUUCCCCUGAAAUGAAGCGCAGGUUUAUUGUUAAGUCUAUGACUGAAACUAGAAAUGUAAGUGGACAUCAAGCGAUUAUGUUAGACUUAAAUCUACUGUCAUGAUAUUGACUUUACGCAAACUGUAGAACAUAACGUGAAGUUUUCUCCUCUUUUUUUUGUGCUCUGUGUGUUUUGUGUGGGCGUUUUGUAUUUUAAACUCUUUUUUGUUUUUUAACAUCAUGCAUCUCAAAUGGCACUUUGACUCGUCCAUUAACUGUAGAUCAAGUUAGAGUGCAGUAGUGAUGUUUCCAAGCAUUCCAUCCCUCUCAGUUAGGGGAGCUAAAGAGCACAUGAUGUUGUGGAAGAAGUGCGGAACAGUAAUGCCUCUUAAAGCCAUACCAACACAGAAAGCCAACCCGUGACUUCGGUUUCAUGAAUGUAAAUUUUACCUCAUGGUGUGUGGAAUGGGGCUUGCUCUACAUCUGACAUCGGACCAAUUCUAGGCUUAGAGAACAUGUAUAUUUUGAGGUGGAGGGAAGGGGAUGGGCAGGGCGGCACCAGCUGUCAUUUGUGUCACUGCACAUUGGUCAAAUUGUUUUUGAUUGUGGUGUAAUUUCAAAACCGACCAUUAGUUUUAUUAUUAUUAAUUUCAGUCCGACUUUGACGAAUAGCCACUUCACCGGGGGGAGAGGAAAAAAAAGAAACCGUGUUGAUUUAAAGGCGUUGAAAAGAGCACACAAAUCUUUGCAUAAUAUUUUUGUCCUUCAGUCAUGUAAAUGAAUAUCCAUGUAUAUUUAAAUGUGAAAUAUACUGCAGGGGUAUUUUGAAUUUCAAUUGUGAUGCUUUCAACAGAACUUUGUGUGCCUUGAUAACUUAAACGUUGCUCUGCUGUGUUUACUGGUGUCCCUUUUGUCUCAUUGCUCCUUUUUAUUCUCUAAGACUGUUUAACAUCCGAAAGCUUUUCCGUUACUUUCUCCUCCCCCUGACACGGACAUAAACGUAACUGUUAUACUUUAACAUAUUCUCAAUCCGUUGCAAGAUAUCAACAUAAUAUUGUGCAGCUUCACCAGUGAAUUGUCACCUUGUUGUUUUCUAUUGAAAAUGCUUUUCAUGCCUCAUGAGAUUUGUACAUGUGAGGUUAAAGGGACGAGACAGUGGAGAUUGUUUUUAUCGAGAACUUUGUGUUGAUGUGCUUGUCAACAUUACUAUUGUUGCUGUGAAACGCUUGAUCAAAAGGGGCAGCCAUGAUAAAUUAAAUUGCCAAUAGUGUGAGCUGUAUCUUGUGUGUAAUCAGUUUGCUCACUUUUCCUAGUUCGCUUCUAUUUCACAUUCUCCAACAGUUCUGUUGUAUCCGUUCUGUGUAGCUUGAGCUUUAGUAUCUAGCCUUAAGACCCUGCAGUAGGGAUAAAGGUCAAACCUGGCGUGUUAUCAUACAUCUGAACUAUUAUUAACAUGUAAUUUUGCCUUUGUCUGGACAUUUGUAUACUCUUUGUUUAUAUCUGUAAUCCUGCUGC